GUUGUCGUGGCCGAGUGGUUAAGGCUAGAAAUCCAUUGGGAUAUCCCUGCGCAGGUUCAAAUCCUGACGACAACG
rnacentral:tRNA from 1 species